AAAAAAAUGUUCGGAGUGUGCGAAAAACCACUGGAAGUAAGCAUUGGGGGGAGGACGAGGGCAAGCCGAUAAGUGAAAUCAUCGAUGGCAAAUCGAAAGUGAACUUUCACGUAUAAAUGCUUCAUCCUCUUGCGCAAAGCGCU
ensembl:ncRNA C55A6.20 ncRNA